rnacentral:rRNA from 1 species
ACACGACUACAUUAGAUACCCGGGUAGUCCUAGCCGUAAACGAUACUCGCUAGGUGUCGGCCACGGUGCGACCGUUGUCGGUGCCGUAGGGAAGCCGUGAAGCGAGCCACCUGGGAAGUACGGCCGCAAGGCUGAAACUUAAAGGAAUUGGCGGGGAGCACCGCAACGGGAGGAGCGUGCGGUUCAAUUGGAUUCAACGCCGGACAACUCACCAGGAGCGACGGUUACAUGAAGGCCAGGCUGAUGACCUUGCCUGAUUUUCCG